GGAGUUAGCCGGUGCUUCUUCUGUGAGUGAUGUCCUUCCUGCCGGCUAUUAACCCGCAGGCCUUCUUCCUCACUGAAAGUGCUUUACAACCCGAAGGCCUUCUUCACACACGCGGCAUGGCUGGAUCAGGGUUGCCCCCAUUGUCCAAUAUUCCCCACUGCUGCCUCCCGUAGGAGUCUGGGCCGUGUCUCAGUCCCAGUGUGGCUGAUCAUCCUCUCAGACCAGCUACGGAUCGUCGCCUUGGUGAGCCGUUACCUCACCAACCAGCUAAUCCGACAUAGGCUCAUCCGAUAGCGCGAGGCCCGAAGGUCCCCCGCUUUCCCCCGUAGGGCGUAUGCGGUAUUAGCCUGGGUUUCCCCAGGUUAUCCCCCACUACCGGGCAGAUUCCUAUGCAUUACUCACCCGUCCGCCGCUCGCCACCAGGGAGCAAGCUCCCCGUGCUGCCGCUAGACUUGCAUGUGUUAGGCCUGCCGCCAGCGUUCAAUCUGAGCCAGAAUCAAACUCUGA
rnacentral:rRNA from 1 species